GCCAGCGGCGGCGGAGGUGGUUU
rnacentral:siRNA from 1 species